rnacentral:rRNA from 1 species
AGAGUUUGAUCCUGGCUCAGAUUGAACGCUGGCGGCAUGCCUAACACAUGCAAGUCGAACGGCAGCACGAUGUGUAGCAAUACAUAUUGGUGGCGAGUGGCGGACGGGUGAGUAACGCGUGGGAAUCUACCCAAUAGUGGGGGACAACCCGAGGAAACUCGGGCUAAUACCGCAUACGCCCUACGGGGGAAAGGCUUCGGCCGCUAUUGAAUGAGCCCGCGUCCGAUUAGCUAGUUGGUGAGGUAACGGCUCACCAAGGCGACGAUCGGUAGCUGGUCUGAGAGGACGAUCAGCCACACUGGGACUGAGACACGGCCCAGACUCCUACGGGAGGCAGCAGUGGGGAAUAUUGCACAAUGGGCGAAAGCCUGAUGCAGCAAUGCCGCGUGUGUGAAGAAGGCCUGCGGGUUGUAAAGCACUUUCGGUAGGGAAGAUUAUGACGGUACCUACAGAAGAG